rnacentral:misc_RNA from 1 species
AAGUCGUAACAAGGUUUCCGUAGGUGAACCUGCGGAAGGAUAAACAACCCUGUGAACCUUGAACGUGCUCCCAGCCCCAUGAAAUCAGCAAUCCCUGGUAAAUCAUUGUUGACCAGCUUUUGAGUCAGGGACCUCUGCCGAAACGGCUGUUCAGUACCGAGCGCAGUGUAAGCGACCUGGCAUCCCUAAGCGAUCAGUGUGGAUGGCGCAGUAAACGAUUGCUAGAGGCCCACACGGCCGGCAACCGGGUCCCAGGGCUCACGCCCCUUUAUCACCCCACAGUUUCCGACUGGGCAGCCGAUAAUACGGACGCCGUAAAAAACUGAACAACUGUUAACAAUGGAUAUCUUGGUUCUC